rnacentral:lncRNA from 1 species
AAAAUUACUUGACCAAAAAGCCUACCUUGUGAGGGUGUGAUCCUUUGACAACCCCUUUGAGCCUAAAAAGUGAAAUAUUUAUUCUUUCAAUGUUACAACCCUUAGCUAAUUUUUAAAAGAAAAAAAGGUUCACCACAUUGUCUUAAGGAUAUGAGAGCACUUAAAAAUGCAAAGUUAUGUCAAACAAUAAAUUUGAGGAAAAAGGAAAAGUUUUGGAAAAGAAAAUCAAGUAGUAAUGGUGAAAAGAAAG